rnacentral:rRNA from 1 species
UACGAAGGGGGCUAGCGUUGUUCGGAUUUACUGGGCGUAAAGCGCACGUAGGCGGUUUGUUAAGUCAGAGGUGAAAUCCUGGAGCUCAACUCCAGAACUGCCUUUGAUACUGGCAAGCUCGAGUCCGGAAGAGGUAAGUGGAACUCCUAGUGUAGAGGUGGAAUUCGUAGAUAUUAGGAAGAACACCAGUGGCGAAGGCGGCUUACUGGUCCGGAACUGACGCUGAGGUGCGAAAGCGUGGGGAGCAAACAGG